AACCUUCGUAUGCGUUCAUGGCCCAGAGUACGCAUUUUAAUGAAAUGCCGGAAGAGUUAUAGAACCUUCCCGUAUCAUUCAAAGAAAUUACGUUUGAUUUUAAUCUUCCUCUGCAUGAUUAUUUGAUUUUAAUCUUCAUCGAAUCUCAAGUCAAGGUUAAGGUGGCCGACUUGAGAUUCGAUGAAUCUAAAAGUUAUUGCAGAGGAAUGGGAUGCAUAGUAGCUGCCAACCUAUGUGAUCCUCAAUGAAGGUAAAUUAGUGGAAAAAGUAGGGGUUGCAAAGAAAGAGGAAUUGCAGUUGAUUGAGAAUCUCUGUUCUGGUGAAAACAAACUGUAGUGCUCAAGUGACACCACUUAAUGAGUAAAUGAGUAAUUUACUAUUAACAUUGUGGAAGACAUGGAAUUAAUGAGUGCUAUUACUUGUGAAAUAUGGAUUUAAA